rnacentral:rRNA from 1 species
GAUGAACGCUGGCGGCGCGCCUAACACAUGCAAGUCGAACGGUUAAAGCACCUUUUAGGUGUGUAUAAAGUGGCGAACGGCUGAGUAACACGUGGGCAACCUGCCCUCCUCUUGGGGAUAGCCUCGGGAAACCGAGGAUAAUACCCGAUACUUCAAUGUGGCCGCAUGACGACAUUGAGAAAGCUUUUGCGGAGAAGGAUGGGCCCGCGGCCUGUUAGCUUGUUGGUGGGGUAGAGGCCUACCAAGGCAAUGAUGGGUAGCUGGGUUGAGAGACCGACCAGCCAGAUUGGGACUGAGACACGGCCCAGACUCCUACGGGAGGCAGCAGUGGGGAAUCUUGCACAAUGGGCGAAAGCCUGAUGCAGCGACGCCGCGUGCGGGAAGAAGGCCUUCGGGUUGUAAACCGCUUUCAGCAGGGACGAGGCGAAAGUGACGGUACCUGCAGAAGAAGCCCCGGCUAACUACGUGCCAGCAGUCGCGGUAAUACGUAGGGGGCAAGCGUUAUCCGGAUUCAUUGGGCGUAAAGCGCUCGUAGGCGGUCUGUUAGGUCGGGAGUUAAAUCCGGAGGCUCAACCUCCGCCCGCUCCCGAUACCGGCAGACUUGAGUUUGGUAGGGGAAGGUGGAAUUCCUAGUGUAGCGGUGGAAUGCGCAGAUAUUAGGAAGAACACCAGUGGCGAAGGCGGCCUUCUGGGCCAUAACUGACGCUGAGGAGCGAAAGCUAGGGGAGCAAACAGG